rnacentral:misc_RNA from 1 species
AAACUCUCAAGCUAUGCUUGGUAUUGAAGGAAGUCCUUUGGACUCCUUUAUAACUUGUCAGUGCGGGACCUACCGGCUUCAAGCGUAGCAAAACUUUCGCUUCGUUGCUUGGUAGGCCUCUGCCUAACAAUAAACUUUCUCAA